CUGAAAUGAUAUUUCUUUUGUUUCAGCUAAUGUU
rnacentral:sRNA from 1 species